GGCAGGGCGCACCUCACAAUCAAGGUGUGGAACUGGUCAUGGAGUCUGUCACAGAGUUCACUCAUGAAUGUGAAACAUGCUACAAUCAAGGGAGCCACGAAGUAAAGUAGCAGGAGUGACAUGAACCAACGAUGAGUGAAUUUUACAAGGAGAGAGGAGAGUGAGAUGAUGACCCAGGCAGGGCCGGUGUUGGGGCCCAGUGAUCAAGUGCGCUGCUUCUCCUGUCCUGAGCACCCAUCUUGAUGGAAUGGAGCCCAAGUUAUGGCCUCUUUUUGAACAUCUGUAAUAGUGGAGGAAGCCCAUGAAAUGGGAAAAUAAUAACUAUCUGUGAAAGGAUGGGGGACAGUAGUUAAUGAAAAUGUAUACAUCUAUGUCUUGGGUAUAAAGAGUGUUUAAUGAUGGAGUUUAAGUUGUGUUGGUAAGAAGGGAUUUCAGUCAUGACAAAUAAAUACAAUGGAAUAGUUAGAAGAUAUCUAGAUAUAGAUAUAGAUGUAUAAAAAUCUGUGGGAUCUGAGUAUGAUGCAAAUGGUAUGGAGUAAGGGGUGGAGAUUGUAUUGGGUGUGGCUGAGAUGGAGUUCAUUUUCUCCAUAGCAGCUAUCAGUGCCAUGCUUUGUAUUGGUAGCUAGAAAAGUGUUGAUGACGCCCCAGUAUUUUGGCUACCGCUGAGCAGUGUUGUCAAUGCAUGAAUGCUGUCUCUCCAUCAUUCUGUCCCAUCAUCAGUAGGCUGGGGAUGGGCAAAAUCCUGGGAGAGGACACAACCAGCACAGCUGACCCAAAUUGGCCAGAGGGAUUGAAUCAAAGGGUUAAAAGAACUUAGAAGCUAAGAAUGUAGCUAGCAAGACAGAAGCAAUAUAUUUUGAUUAAGAGUUUAUCAAGAGGAAUAGAAACUAUGUAGAUGGUUAAUUAUUACCAGGUGGACCUAGUUAGAGCUAAGACAAUAUAUUAAUUGCUUGAUUUAGAUGUGUUUGUAGAAGGAGACAAGAAAGAUGAGCCAUUGUGAAGAUAAAGAAACCAUAGCUGCACCUGGGCCCAAGGACCAGCCAGAACCAGGAUGGGGAGGUCUGGACUAUGGCCAAGGGAGCAGAGAGCCUGCCAACAAGACAAAGGUGAAAAGUUUAACAUGAGGAAGAUGUCCCUGACUUCAUCUCAGGAGACCACUGACUCAUUUUGAAACCCACCCACCCAUUUGGAGGAAAGAACUACGCAGAGAUCAGAGACACUGCACUGUCAGGAACAGAGCGGCCCUACUCCAGUCUAAAGCCCUUGCGAGCUGAGCCGGGAGAGAAAAAACACUGAGACUUCAGCCCAGCUGCUUCACCUCUGCCAUAACCAUUCUGUUGUUCACUGCCGUGGGGAGGAGUUCAACACCAGAUGAGGCACUGGGCUUUCAUUUUGCUGGAACUGAUCCAUGAUAGCUCCUGUUUUGCCUGAGAGGGAAGCCGGCGCAAUCUUGUACUGCAUGUUGUGAGCAGUUUAAUUUCCAGGUUGGGAAAAAGGCAACAGUACACUGUCUUAGGCUGAGUGACAGCCUGCCUUCAGGCUCUGCAAGAGGAAGCUUUGUUCCUAGGUAUCACAACUGAAGAAGGCCCAUUAGAGCAUGACUGUAGAAGUAAUAGAGUACACCUAUUCAGCAAGAGAAGACCUGGAAGACAUCCCACUAAAGCAACCAGAAUGGGAGCUAUUCUCAGAUGGAAGCAGCUUCGUGGAGAAUGGGACCAGAUACGCUGGAUAUGUGGUAACAACAGUCAGUACUGUUGCUAUAUUUUAUAUAUUAGUAAAGGCCUGUCUGCACAAACCAGCCUUUGACAUAAGUCGUGAUAUUAAGGGCUAAAGUCCUUGAAACCUUCAUGCAGAAGAGAGAGUAAAACAAUAUCCCUGUGUG